rnacentral:rRNA from 1 species
UGGGGAAUUUUGGACAAUGGGCGAAAGCCUGAUCCAGCAAUGCCGCGUGUGUGAAGAAGGCCUUCGGGUUGUAAAGCACUUUUGUCCGGAAGGAAAUCCUUGGCUCUAAUACAGUCGGGGGAUGACGGUACCGGAAGAAUAAGCACCGGCUAACUACGUGCCAGCAGCCGCGGUAAUACGUAGGGUGCAAGCGUUAAUCGGAAUUACUGGGCGUAAAGCGUGCGCAGGCGGUUUGCUAAGACCGAUGUGAAAUCCCCGGGCUCAAACCUGGGGAACUGCAUUGGUGACUGGCAGGCUAGAGUAUGGCAGAGGGGGGUAGAAUUCCACGUGUAGCAGUGAAAUGCGUAGAGAUGUGGAGGAAUACCGAUGGCGAAAGGCAGCCCCCUGGGCCAAAUACUGACGCUCAUGCACGAAAAGCGUGGGGAGCAAACAGGAUUAGAUACCCUGGUAGUCCACGCCCUAAAACGAUGUCAACUAGUUGUUGGGGAAUUCAUUUCCUUAGUAACGUAGCUAACGCGUGAAGUUGACCGCCUGGGGAGUACGGUCGCAAAGAUUAAAAACUC